UACAGAGGGGGCAAGCGUUGUUCGGAAUUACUGGGCGUAAAGGGCGCGUAGGCGGCCUUCUAAGUCGAACGUGAAAUCCCCGGGCUCAACCCGGGAACUGCGUCCGAUACUGGCAGGCUUGAGUCCGGGAGAGGGAUGCGGAAUUCCAGGUGUAGCGGUGAAAUGCGUAGAUAUCUGGAGGAACACCGGUGGCGAAGGCGGCAUCCUGGACCGGCAUUGACGCUGAGGCGCGAAAGCCAGGGGAGCAAACGGG
rnacentral:rRNA from 1 species